rnacentral:rRNA from 1 species
CCUACGGGCGGCAGCAGUGGGGAAUAUUGCGCAAUGGGCGAAAGCCUGACGCAGCGACGCCGCGUGAGGGAUGAAGGUCUUCGGAUCGUAAACCUCUGUCAGCAGGGAAGAACGGUCACUGUGCUAAUCAGCAGUGAAUUGACGGUACCUGCAAAGGAAGCAGCGGCUAACUCCGUGCCAGCAGCCGCGGUAAUACGGAGGGUGCGGGCGUUAAUCGGAAUUACUGGGCGUAAGGCGCUCGUAGGCGGUAUGUCAAGUCAAGGGUGAAAGCCCCGCGCUCAACGUGGGAACUGCCUUUGAAGUCGGCAAACUGGAGUGUGUGAGAGGAUAGUGGAAUUCCAGGUGUAGGAGUGAAAUCCGUAGAUAUCUGGAGGAACAUCAGUGGCGAAGGCGACUAUCUGGCACAUAACUGACGCUGAGGAGCGAAAGCGUGGGUAGCAAACAGGAUUAGAUACCCGAGUAGUC